AACGAACGCUGGCGGCAUGCCUAACACAUGCAAGUCGAACGAGACCUUCGGGUCUAGUGGCGCACGGGUGCGUAACGCGUGGGAACCUGCCCUUAGGUUCGGAAUAACUCCCCGAAAGGGGUGCUAAUACCGGAUAAUGUCUUCGGACCAAAGAUUUAUCGCCCUUGGAUGGGCCCGCGUUGGAUUAGCUAGUUGGUAGGGUAAAAGCCUACCAAGGCGACGAUCCAUAGCUGGUCUGAGAGGAUGAUCAGCCACACUGGGACUGAGACACGGCCCAGACUCCUACGGGAGGCAGCAGUGGGGAAUAUUGGACAAUGGGCGAGAGCCUGAUCCAGCAAUGCCGCGUGAGUGAUGAAGGCCUUAGGGUUGUAAAGCUCUUUUACCCGGGAUGAUAAUGACAGUACCGGGAGAAUAAGCUCCGGCUAACUCCGUG
rnacentral:rRNA from 1 species